rnacentral:rRNA from 1 species
GAGCUCAAGCUUAAAAUCUCCAUACAAUUUUUGUAUGGCGAAUUGUAGUCUAUAGAAGCGUGGUCAGUGUAGGCACUUGGGGUAAGUUCCUUGGAAAAGGACAGCAUGGAGGGUGAUACUCCCGUUUAUCUCUAAGUUGCUUAUACGUACGACCCGUUUUCUUUGAGUCGCGUUGUUUGAGAAUGCAGCGCAAAGUAGGUGGUAAAUUCCAUCUAAAGCUAAAUAUUGGUGCGAGACCGAUAGCAAACAAGUACCGUGAGGGAAAGAUGAAAAGAACUUUGAAAAUAGAGUUAAAGAGUACCUGAAACUGCUGAAAGGGAACCAAAUCGUUUCCAGUGUCUAUAAUCCGUGGUAUAUCACAUCGGCGAGCGUGUGCGUGUGUGUGCUGUUGUAGUGGCCUUUUGGUUACGCUCGGCGUAUGUGCUGUAUAUGCUUGCUGGUGCCCUGUACUGCGGUGGGACGUCAAGGUCAGUUCGUAUGCUGCGGGAUAUGACUACCAAGGAGGUAGGGCUUACGCUUGCGUUUGUCUGUUAUAUCUUGGUAGACGAGUAGUCGCGGUUGGGACUGAGGUGCCUACAACGUGCUUUUGAGUGGGCUUGGGUCUUCGUGUGCGCCGUGUGCGGAUAGCUUGCUAUGCGUGUGUGGGUUGUGUAUGGAUUGAUGCGAGCCUUAACUUUGUAGUCGUUCGGGACGUUGACGAAAUGGAACGAUUUGACCCGUCUUGAAACACGGACCAAGGAGUCUAACAUAUGUGCAAGUGUUAGGGUGUGGAAACCCCAGCGCGUAAUGAAAGUAAAGGACAGCGUAAGCUGUCUUAGGUAGGAAAUGCUGCGGGCUUCGGCUUGUGGUGUGGCACUAUCGACCGAUCAUGAACCCUCGUGGUGAAAGAUUUGAGUUUGAGCACAUAUGUUGGUACCCGAAAGAUGGUGAACUAUGCCUGAGUAGGGUGAAGCCAGGGGAAACUCUGGUGGAAGCUCGUAGCGAUUCUGACGUGCAAAUCGAUCGUCGAACUUGGGUAUAGGGGCGAAAGACUAAUCGAACCAUCUAGUAGCUGGUUCCCUCCGAAAUUUCCCUCAGGAUAGCUGCAACUUAUUUACGAUAGUUUUAUGAGGUAAAGCGAAUGAUUAGAGGUUUCGGGGAAGAAACUUCCUCGACCUAUUCUCAAACUUUAAAUCUGUAAGACCUACGAGUUUCUUAAUUGAACUUGUGGAUGUGAAUAUCAAGUUGUUAGUGGGCCAUACGGGGUAAGCUCGUCUGGCGAUGCGGGAUGAACCGAACGCAAAGUUAAAGUGCCAAAAUGCUCGCUCACCUAGAUACC